rnacentral:lncRNA from 1 species
UUUAAGCCAGCCCCAAUACAACUAAUGGGCAUAUGCCACUAAGCCCAAGCUCAGAACGAAGUACUACUGCUGUGGGCCAGUUCUCAAAUGCCUUGACACAGAUUAUUUUACACUAGCACUGUGAUUUCUCUUUUGAAACACAUAGACUGUGUGUGAUUUCUCUUUUGAAACACAUAGACUUUGUGAGCACCAAAAUUCUAUAAAAAUCAGAUUAAAUCUUUCAGCUCGAGUAUUUUCAAACCAAAAUCCCUGGAAAUACAAUUCUACAGAGAAAAUAAAGCUCAAUAUCAUUUUAGUGGUUGAUUGGUUGUCAAUCCC